AUUGAACGCUGGCGGCAUGCCUUACACAUGCAAAUCGAACGGUAACGGGCCUUCGGGUGCCGCCGAGUGGCGAACGGGUGAGUAAUACAUCGGAACGUGCCCGAUCGUGGGGGAUAACGAGGCGAAAGCUUUGCUAAUACCGCAUACGAUCUACGGAUGAAAGCAGGGGACCGCAAGGCCUUGCGCGGACGGAGCGGCCGAUGGCAGAUUAGGUAGUUGGUGGGAUAAAAGCUUACCAAGCCGACGAUCUGUAGCUGGUCUGAGAGGAUGAUCAGCCACACUGGGACUGAGACACGGCCCAGACUCCUACGGGAGGCAGCAGUGGGGAAUUUUGGACAAUGGGCGCAAGCCUGAUCCAGCCAUGCCGCGUGCAGGAUGAAGGCCUUCGGGUUGUAAACUGAUUUUGUACGGAACGAAAAGCCUUCUUUUAAUACAGGAGGGUCAUGACGGUACCGGAAGAAUAAGCACCGGCUAACUACGUG
rnacentral:rRNA from 1 species